rnacentral:pre_miRNA from 1 species
AGCCAGCUGGGGUUCCUGGUGAUGCGAUUUUUUUACCCACUGCCCAAAAUCACAUUGCCAGGGAUUUCCAACUGGCU